UUUCAGUCCAUGUUCCACUUUUUAGAGGUUGUGUAUUUGUAUGUGAUGAGCAUUUGUCUUGGUUUUUUUUUGCAGAUUGGCAUUUGUUGAUUCAGCAGUAAACAGUAGGUUUACUGGAAUUCAUGGGACAAAUGGAAGUGUGAAUGGGCCCAGAGUGUGACAUGGGGAGAAACCUAUCUACCUUGGCCUUCCGUGAAAGACCUCAUGGGAGUGAGGGAGAAGGAGACUCUACAGACAGGGGUGCAUGGUUUCUCCUAUGGGGCUUCAGCAGCAUAUGGGUCAACUAGAAUAAUUUCAGUCCUUCCUGAACUGACUGAAAACAAUGCAUCCACUAUAGACUGGGUUACUCCAAGACUGGAUUUCUGCAGUGUACACUCCGUGGGGUUUCCCUUGCACUUGAUCCGGAAGCUGCAGUUAGUGCACUCUCAAGGCCUUGCUGCAUAGAACCGGUGCGCUCACAGAACUGCACCGGUUGCCGAUCUGCUACUGGGCCAGGUUCAAGGUGUGGCUAUUAGUACGCAAAGCCCAUAAUAAUUUGGGACCAGUUUACUGAUGAGAUUGCCUUACCCCACAUGUGCCCCUUCGACCACUUUGAUGGGUGGAAUUUGCGCCGCCAUAUUUAAAUUUUUAUUUAUUUAUUUAUACCCAUUUUAUAUAAUACCCACCCCGCAAUUGUAAGAGCUUAAUCAUUUAGUGUGGCAGUGCUGACACUCCCUGUCUGUUGAGAUCAAGCAGGUGCCUUCACCGUACAGUGGUACCUUGGGUUACAAACGCUUCGGGUUACAAACUCUGCUAACCUGGAAGUAGUACCUCGGGUUACAGACUUUGCCCCAGGAUGAGAACGGAAAUUGUGUGCUGGCGGCAGCGGUAGGCCCUAUUAGCAAAAGCACGCGUCAGGUUAAGAAUGGUUUCGGGUUAAGAACGGACCUCUGGAACGAAUUAAGGGUACCACUGUACUCCUUUUCGGUGUUUGCUAAAAGCAUCCUUGUUCAGACAACCCUACCUCAAUUAGAAAUCUCUUUUAAUAUUU